ensembl:lncRNA
AAACAGGAUUUUUUUUGUACAGUAUAGAACAAAAGUGAGCACACUCAUGAGUUAUGUCACUCAGUUGUGAAAUUAUUCCAUACUGCAUUGUCUCUCAAUAAUUGCAUUAUUUCUAGGUUUUGCAGUAGAGUAUUUGUUGUUAUGAACAAGUCUUUUACAAAGACUGAAGUGAAUCUACUUGUGAUCACUGAAACUAAACUUACUAAACCUGUGAUUUCCAGUCAGUCUAACUGCAUGAACAUGGUUCUAGAAUGAGCUGUGACCAGAACUUUCUCAGGUUUGGACCUAUUGGCUAUGCAGCCAUCAUCCUCCUAAAAUGACUCCACAGACAGAGUUUUAAUGAAGCUCAGACAGUGUAAAGGACACUUCAUAGCAUCAACCUUUAUGGAUGGAGAACAAGAAAAAAACAUUGUUUGUUCACCACAAAAUAGCAACAUGAAACUUUGCUAAAAAACAUAAAAAGUAACUUGAUGAAUGUCAGGAGCACAUUCUUUGAUCAUGUCAGAUCCAUUUAUUGAGAUCAGAUGGAGUCCAGCAUGUUUGGUGUGAACCAGACCAGGACUACCACAGUGAACGAACAGUCCUGAUAGUCCUGAUAAUGAAGCAUGGAGGUGGGUGUGGUGAUAUGAAGCAGCACAACUGCCAACAGAGUUGGGAGAUUUAAGAAUGCACCAUGAAUGUCUGUGAAUAAACCAAAAUACUGACUGACAAGGUGACUCCCAGUCUGCAGAAGCUUGAAGAAGAGGAAUAUCACAGCAGGAGAACAUGGUCUCAGUGAUGCAACAAAUGAAAUUGGAAUAAUGACAAAGAUGUAAAUUUCUGUCUGUGGUCGGGCAGGAAGUGCCUAAAUCUGGAGAGACACACCUUCAGUCUGACUCUGAGUCAGUGCUGAGAGACUCUGAGAACUCCUGGAAACCGAGCCCACAGAAAAAACUGAUGUCAAACCUUCUGAGAACCCAACAGCCGGCUGGUUUCCUCAGAAGACACUUUGAUUCAGGAUGGACAGAGGAUAAAUAUCAGCAUCAGCAGCAUGAAGGCUUCACAUCACAUCAUUCACAGGACAAGACCAGUGGACCAGACUGAAGUCUCCCAGCUGCUGCACACCUCCAUCUCAAGGCAACAAUGCAUUGUGGGUACCUGCGUUUCCUGUUUCUGGUGCUGUGGGCGGAGCUUGCAGCAGGUAAAGCGUUACCUACCGACAGACCAGACACUGAAAUGCAAAGCAUCAUUGAGGACCUGCUGGCGGCGCUGCAAAACUAUAGUCGUGUCCUCAGAGAGACGGACUCCCUGAGAGAUCUGCCAGUACAGCCCUGCACAGAGGCUCCUGCUCACCUGACCCAGAGCUUGACUGUGGCCAGCAGACUGUUGCACUAUAAGAACUGUGCUGAGAAGCUCCGAGCCUUCUGUCCAGACAACAGCGCUCUGUGUCGAGUCGUGGUCCUGAACCAGGACCUGCUGCAACACCUGGGCGCCCGGAUAGCUCAGCUGGCUGAACAGGCGGCCCAUGAACAGGGGCUAUAGUCCCCGAUGCAGCGAUCAUGGGUUCAAAUCGAGCUCAUGACAAUUUACUGCAUGCCAUUCCCCCACUCUUCUGGGGGCAGUGGUGGCACCACGGUUAAGUCUCUGGACUACUGAUCAGAAGGUCAGAGGUUCAAGCCCUGAUGUGGCCACUGUUGGGCCCUUGAGCAAGGCCCUUAACCCUCCCUGCUCCAGGGGCGCUGUACCGCAGCUGACCUGUUGCUCUGAUUCCCCCAAUUGGGGAGAUAUGCAAAAAUCUGAAUUUCCCCUUGUGGGAUUAAUAAGGGAUCAUAAUAAUAAUUUAUAUGUCAACAUUUACCAGAGUUUGUCUUGCUGUGAUUUUUAUCUCUGGCUCCAUAUUUCUUGGUCUCCUAUGUUUAAUCCUAAUGUAUUUGUGGUGUUUAUGUGUGGAUUGAUGUAAUUCUCUGUGUGAACGCCAGGGGGCACUGCUGCUGUAGUUUUGUACUUUAUCUGUACUAACACAAAAUGUAAACAGACUCAUGAACAUGUACACUGACUGUACACUGGUAUGGACUUUAGUUUUUUACAAAAUGACUGUUAAUAUAUUCAUAUUUUAUGAAUUUGAAUCUGUUGAAUUGUUUUGUGAUCAGAA